rnacentral:piRNA from 1 species
UCGCUGAGAAUUCGAACCAGCGGUGGCGU